rnacentral:rRNA from 1 species
GACGAACGCUGGCGGCGUGCUUAACACAUGCAAGUCGAACGAAGUGGCGAACGGGUGAGUAACGCGUAAUCAACCUGCCCUUCAGAGGGGGACAACAGUUGGAAACGACUGCUAAUACCGCAUACUGAAGGAGGGGAUGGCGUCUGAUUAGCUAGUUGGAGGGGUAACGGCCCACCAAGGCGAUGAUCAGUAGCCGGCCUGGGAGGGGGAUCGGCCACAAGGGGACUGGGACACGGCCCUGACGCCUACGGGAGGCAGGAGUGGGGAAUAUUGGACAAUGGACCAAAGUCUGAUCCAGCAAUUCUGUUGUCACGAUGAAGUUUUUCGGAAUGUAAAGUGCUGUCAGUUGGGAAGCGGUACCAACAGAAGAAGUGACGGCUAAAUACGUGCCAGCAGCCGCGGUAAUUC